UCUAAAGUGUUACCUUCAUCUGGUCAUGUGAUCUCAAAAUGGUGGCCACCAUAAGGAAGAAAAAUAAAAGAUUUUUUUUAGGCCCCUAAAAUGACUAUAGUAUCAUGAAAGUAGAUUUUUUUUUUUUACAUAUUUGUCAAACACAAUAAUUAUUUCUUUGUGAGUACAGUAAUGUACUACAUCUUUAAAAACAUGUUAACAAUGAGAAAAAAGUUUUACUGUAUUUAGAGUAAACAAAACAAACAAACAAAAAAAAAACACAUAAUGUUGUUUUGAUGAAGGUUGACGUCAGGACUCAUAAUCAGGUCAUGUGACACUAGAUUAAACAAUGUUCAUAUGAAAUGUUCAGAAUUAUUGAUUAAUUUAUUUGAAGCUGCAGGUUUUUCUGUGAAUCAUGAUGAUUGAGCUUCAUAUGAAGAACAGAAGAUCAUUAUCAGAAACUCCACAACAUCAUCCAUGAUAAAAGAGGUCAAAGGUCACCUCAGAGGUCACAGAUCAUCAAAUAUAUAUCUAUAAACAGUGUUAAAUCAGAAAGCGUUUAGUCCAGGGCUGGGCAAACUCGGUCCUGGAGGGCCGCUGUCCCUGCAGAGUUUUGCUCCAACCCUAAUCAAACACACCUGAACCAGCUAAUCAAGGUCUUCAGGAUUACACACAGGUGAGUUUUAUCAGGGUUGCAGCUAAACUCUGCAGGACAGUGGCCCUCCAGGACCGAGUUUGCCCAGCCCUGGUUUAGUCCAAACUGAAUGUGUGAGUGUUGAGAAGAUGUGAGUUUCUUCUAAUAUCAGUGUGUUGAAGUGUUGUUUCUCUCUCUCUGCUGGAGUUUGUGUUCACUCGAGUGGAAUAGAGGUUUUUGUACGACCGUUUCAUUAGAUUGUAUCACUGUGGUACACAUUCGGAGGAGGAACUAAACUGGUGCUCGCUGGUCCCACAGUGAAGCCCUCAGUGUCUCUGCUGCCGCCCUCUUCUCUGCAGAUCUCUGGAGACUCAGCCGCACUGCUCUGCCUGCUCAGCUCUUACUCUCCACAGGGGGCGCUGGUGAGCUGGACACUGGACGGGUCAGAGGUCACCGAGGGGGUCGUGACCAGCGCAGAGAGCCAGCGGGACGGCCGCUACAGCCGCAGUAGCGUCCUGACCCUCAGCAAAGCACGCUGGGAAGAGGGAGAGGUGUACGUCUGCAGAGUAACACAUGAUGGAGCUCCUCAUGAGGUCUCGUUCCACAAGAGCUCUGAGUGCUGAUGUUUCUCUCCUGAAGAUGAGCCGUAUCUGAGUGUCCUGUGUCAGGCAGGAUUCACAUGAGUCUAGUGCUGCAGCUGUAGUGAUUUACAACUCAAUACUGAAAGAGAGCUGGCGUGUCAAAGCACUGUGUGAUCUUUCAAUCUGCUGUAACAUUCAAUAAAGCUUCUCAACAAGUUCA